rnacentral:misc_RNA from 1 species
GAUGAAGAACGUAGCGAAAUGCGAUAAGUAAUGUGAAUUGCAGAAUUCAGUGAAUCAUCGAAUCUUUGAACGCACAUUGCGCCCGCCAGUAUUCUGGCGGGCAUGCCUGUCUGAGCGUCAUUUCAACCCUCAUGCCCCUAGGGCGUGGUGUUGGGGAUCGGCCAAAGCCCGCGAGGGACGGCCGGCCCCUAAAUCUAGUGGCGGACCCGUCGUGGCCUCCUCUGCGAAGUAGUGAUAUUCCGCAUCGGAGAGCGAUGAGCCCCUGCCGUUAAACCCCCAACUUUCCAAGGUUGACCUCAGAUCAUGUAGGAAUACCCGCUGAACUUAAGCAUAUCAAUAAGCGGAGGA